GCCUACCUCCACCACCAGAGUUGCAAGACCUGUGUGUAAGACCGUACCGUGGACUCUCUGGCUCUUAGAUUUCCCCACCUUAUAGGUUCCCCGCUACCUGCGGUCAAAGUUGUAGAGUAAACUGCAAAGCUAACCUCAAAUGUUAGUGCAGCGAGAGUGCAAGUUUCACGUCGACUUAUACAGAAGAAACUACCAUGAACUUCUAACGAUAGCUUGUAGCCAUAUCUACAAUGCCCAGGUCUUGUGUUGUUUCCAAAUGCAAAACUGGUUAUAAAAGUUUGAAGGUUAAACGCUCGGUUUUCAAAGCACCAUCGAAUGUUGAAUUGUUUGACAAGUGGAAAGCGGUGUUACCGGAGGGAGUUCGUUUAACUGCGACGAAAUUUGUCUGUGAAAGACAUUUCAAAGAAGAAGAUAUCGUUAGAAGAUAUGUUAGAUUCGAUCAGAAUGGUCGAAAAAUUGCGGAUGUUCCCUUCAAGUGUCCUCGAUUGGCGGACCAGGCUGUUCCGUCGAUAUUUACUCCCGAUGACGAGACUGCUCAAUCCUUUUCUUCAGUCACCAAUUACAGCGAAUCGUCAGACUCGAUAGUCGAGAAAAAUGAUUCUCAGACAUUCAAAGCCAUGGAAGCGUCAAAUGUUACUCACGAGGAAGUAAAAUUCGCGGAAGAAAAACCAUUGCCACAAUUUUCACAAACAGAAAUUGAAAAUGUAAGAACAUCACCUGCAUCUAAAUCACAGACUGGAAAUUAUUUAACUGUGUUACUGAAAAAUGAAAUGAGCAUUUGUACGGCUGAAGACUCUGAACUAGUCGCUGUCAAUCAGGCUAAAAUAUCAGAAGAACCAAAAACAUCUGUACAUUUGUUUGAUGCACUUACUUCAAAAAUAAAUCAAGGUGAAGAUAUUUCGAAAGCCAAUGAAAAUGACUUCUCGAUUCCUACAAGUUGGACGGUUAUAAAUCAGCUUUCCCCAAACAAGCAAUGUGUUACAAUCACCCACACACGAUAUAUGAAAAAAAACGGUGUGCAUCACCCGAUCUUUGAUAAAUAUGUCACAAUUGAUAUCGAUAAUCGAAUACGAUACUUUAUUUCGGGACGCGUUGUAGAAGCGCAAGAGGCCGGACUGCAAGAAACUUUAUUAAAUAAAAUAGAACUGACCAACAUUUUGAACAAAUUUGGAAACAUCAAUUUGUGUGGAGGUUUAGGAAACGUUGACACGCAAUAUCUUGAACUGAACAACGAAUUCAGAGAUUAUUUCGGUGAUUUGCACAGUGAUAAUUGUUCUCUGAUAUCGAAGAUGAAGCGAUGUCGCAGUUGUAUAAAGCUGCGGAAAAUCGCUUUUCAGAGAAAAUCCAGGUACAAUAACGAUCAGCCGAUACGACGUAUGCGAAAGGCUAUGAAUCCGAUUGAUCAGAGAUUGUUGCUAGCAUCACAGAAGAAAUUGAAACGUCAAAAACGUAAAUUAAAACGAAUCAUGGCGGAAAGAGAAUCGUUGAAGAAUUCGCUAGCUGAAAAGACCCAAGAGUUGACCAAAAUCAACAACGAACCGUUUGAUGAAAAGUGUUCAAAACUCAACAUCCCAGCUGCUCAAAGAAUAACACUGAAUGAAAUAAUCGCAGCCGCUUCCACAACCAAAUCCAAUGGCCGACGUUAUUCGAACGAAUGGAUAAUGCAGUGUCUUUUGUUGAACAUAAAGUCGCCAUCUUUGUACGAGUAUUUAAGGGUGAAUAACAUUCUACCGUUACCCUGUUCAACAACUAUUCGUCGAUAUUUUUCACUCGCAAACAAGAAGUGCAACUUUGAUCAAAAUUUCACCGAGGUACUGAGGCGUAAAUUUGACAAACUAAAACAGAAAGGACUUAAACUGGACGGUCUGAUUUUGUUAAACGAUCUCGAAACGAAAAAUCCAAUGGAUAUUUCUGCAGAAAGUCUAGCCUAUGUCAGUGUAUCGGAUUUCAGAAACGACGUCCUAAAGUCUCAAAGUGUCAAUGAUCAACCCACGCACGGUCUUGUUCUGAUGUUACAAUCGUUGACGGACAGACAGACUCAUCUCGUUACAGUUUUCAAGGACGAAAAUCCUAUCCGAGGUGAACAAAUAUCAAAAUUAAUUAUCGAGGCGAUCGCAUGCCUAGAAAACUGUGGGGCCACAAUUCAUGGCGUUAUCGCUGAUGAUAAAACGAUGAAUAAGAAAAUCUGGUCUUCGUUGGGUGUCGAAGGCUCGAUUAAUGGCAUCAAAACAUGGUUUACACACCCUGUCGAUGAGAGCCGCAAAGUUUUCGCAUUUUCCAAUGCGUUGCACUUGAUAAGAUGCAUAAGAGAUCAAUUAUACGAUAAUAAACGACUGCGUAUAAAUUCUCGUAGUAAUUACAUUGAGUGGAAAUAUAUCCAGGCUUUAUUCAUUCUCGACAGUGAUGAAGCGAGGGCUAGAGUUUGUCCUGAAAUUACACAGAAUCAUGUAAAAUUGGAUAGCACAUUAAGAAUGUGCGAUUGUCUUGCAACGCAGGUGUUCAGUAAUUCUGUGGCAAACGGGCUCAAAUUUUAUUUGGAUCGAAACUGUGAUUCAUUAAUCGGGUGUGAAGAAACUAUUGCAUUCUGCAAACGCAUGAAUGACAUGUUUGAUGCCUUGAAGUGUAACGCCGCAAAUCAAGGACUCACUCCUGAUUCUGCCAAUCUCAAGGUAUUGGACGAUUGCUUGAAAUGGUUAAAUACUUGGGAAUUUGCGCAGUUCAACGGCGAAAUAACGGCGGACGAAUUUUUAAAUACAGAAACAGCGCACGGGUUGCGUGUAAGCUUAACGUCGACUAUCGAGUUAUGCAAAUAUCUGACAGGGAGACUCGAAUUCAAAUGUCAAUUUGCAGGUGAAGCAAGCUAAAAGACAAGGCAGAGGUGUUUUUUCAUACGAUUCAUUAAAAAUCUUCCCGUUUCAAACGAAAAUUAUUAAGAUUCUUUUCCUGCCUUUCCUUUAGAUACAUUUUUCAGCUUUCAUUCAGUUAUCGAGGAUGUUGCAUUAUAAAUUGACUGACAUGUCUUUUCAAUAAGCAUUAAAAAUAUCGGUUUUUUAAAAGUUGUAUCAAUAUAUACACAUAAUGGCCAUGAUUGUGAAAUUAACAAUAAAUUUACGUCAGCGCACGUUGGUCCCAAACCCCAAAAAGCCAGUCAAAUUUUGAAAGAAGUUUCUUUUCUAGGGACUUUUGACUGUUGGGGUAGUGUAGGAGUUCAUAUAGUAUGUAUUAUGACCGCGGAUGGGCAAGGUUUCUUAUCUGACUUAGGAAUUCAAUUCGUUCUUUAGCGUCAUGAGUGUCGCAUCAUUAGCUUGUGACACGCCAAAAAAUUCAUCGGUUUGAAACAUGCGUAGAAUGGUGAGAAGUUGACCGAUUUGGAUUCUGUAAAAUGGAUUCUUCCCCAGAAAAAUCUACGAAUUUUGACUGAACAACAGAAAUUUCUUAUGCAAGAAAGGAAAUUUUAAUAUUUUUGUAAACAGUAUUAACCAAAAAUAUUAACGUAACGAAUGACAAUAUUGAAACAGAGAUGUUAAAUAAAUUCAGGCAUCCAUACAUUGUGCCACAAAAUUUGAAAAAUGUCAGUGUUGAAUGGGUAUCGGAGUUCAGACAAAGGUGGAGCCAAGUUAACAGAAUGGAAAACAUAUUCUUCGAAAAAUUCACGACAUUCGUCAGAUAACGAUUAAGAAAUUUUCACACUACAUGGAAAUGAAUAUUCAUUAUUAUUGUAAUAGUGAUUAAUUACUUUAUUCCAAUCCUCUUCUUUCCCAACCUUUUCAUGUGAUCUAUUUAUAAUCGUCAUUUUUAAACGCAUUUCAUCAAAAUUGGACCAAAUCGAAUAACCUUUUCAUAAAAUAUUUAUACCAUUUUGUAUUUUGGUUUUUUUUUUAUUUGUAA
rnacentral:misc_RNA from 1 species